UUCCGGNUGAUCCUGCCGGAGGUUACUCCUUUCGAGGUUCGACUAAGCCAUGCGAGUCGAAUGCCGCAAGGCAUGGCGUACUGCUCAGUAACACGUGGACAACCUACCCUUAGGACUGGGAUAACCCCGGGAAACUGGGAAUAAUCCCCGAUAGUCCUCGAAGGCUGGAAUGCAUCGAGGGCGAAAGCUCCGGCGCCUAAGGAUGGGUCUGCGGCCUAUCAGGUAGUAGUGGGUGUAGCGUACCUACUAGCCUACGACGGGUACGGGUUGUGAGAGCAAGAGCCCGGAGAUGGAUUCUGAGACACGAAUCCAGGCCCUACGGGGUGCAGCAGGCGCGAAAACUUUACAAUGCUGGCAACAGCGAUAAGGGAACCUCGAGUGCCAGGUUACAAAUCUGGCUGUCGAGAUGCCUAAAAAGCAUUUCAUAGCAAGGGCCGGGCAAGACCGGUGCCAGCCGCCGCGGUAACACCGGCGGCUCGAGUGGUAACCGUUAUUAUUGGGUCUAAAGGGUCUGUAGCCGGCCGGAU
rnacentral:rRNA from 1 species